CCUACGGGCGGCAGCAGUCGAGAAUCAUUCACAAUGGGGGAAACCCUGAUGGUGCGACGCCGCGUGGGGGAAUGAAGGUCUUCGGAUUGUAAACCCCUGUCAUGUGGGAGCAAAUUAAAAAGAUAGUACCACAAGAGGAAGAGACGGCUAACUCUGUGCCAGCAGCCGCGGGAAUACAGAGGUCUCAAGCGUUGUUCGGAAUCACUGGGCGUAAAGCGUGCGUAGGCUGUUUCGUAAGUCGUGUGUGAAAGGCGCGGGCUCAACCCGCGGACGGCACAUGAUACUGCGAGACUAGAGUAAUGGAGGGGGAACCGGAAUUCUAGGUGGAGCAGUGAAAUGCGUAGAUAUCGAGAGGAACACUCGUGGCGAAGGCGGGUUCCUGGACAUUAACUGACGCUGAGGCACGAAGGCCAGGGGAGCGAAAGGGAUUAGAUACCCUGGUAGUC
rnacentral:rRNA from 1 species